GGCUAGGAUCUCCCAAUCUAGAGAAUUUUUGGUGCAUGUGCCUUCGAAGGUGAGUCCCAUCAUAUCAACGCUCCGGAUCACUGGACAAUUGUCUCCUCUUGUACAAACUGAAAGCCUGAAGCUACCGUACAAUCUCUUGCACUGUUUUAUAUAACAAAAUGGGUUGCCUUUUCUGCUUGCCUAGGAUUUCAAAAUGCCGAUGAAGUUGUGAGGCAGCUCUCGCAAUUGCAGACAUCUUGUCCGCUUCGCCGAAU